GAUAAAUUGCAAUAUGCAUUAAUUCUUCAGUAACAACAUUUCCACUUUUGUGCAUAAACAAUCUUAAAUUCACCAAUAAUGUACUAACGUCGAGCAUAAAAUUUAUUUUAUAAUAAUGGUUUUAAUACAAUACAUAAUCUUUUAAUUGGAACAUGCACAGCAUCAUGUAAAAUAUUACAAUGAUUUUAAUGGUAAAUAUUUUGCUAACAAUGUCGUGUUUUCCUUAUUUUUGGUUAACCUUAUAAAAGAAAACAAAUCCACACAAUAAUGGAAUGUUUUCAAGGGUGAAUCGGUGGAGGAACAACUUUGUGUCCCGCUCCAGGACUAGGUCCAGAGUUCUUAAUCUGAACAAUAGGUUUCUGCAAGUCGAGUAAUCUUUUUCCUUUACCCGAAGUUGAAACAAAUGUCACUGGUUUUGGUUGCAGUGUCAUUUGACUAACCCGGCCCAGUUCAUCCGACAAUGGUCGAGCUGUGGCAUAAAAUACCGAACUGAAUAUCAGAGAGUAAAGAAGAAAAAAGACGAGCGAAAAGUAAAGUUGUUUUCCCAUAGGAUUCAAUUGGAAAUUGGUUGUAUAAUGGAUAGAGUUUAUUAAUAUUUUCAGAAUGG
rnacentral:lncRNA from 1 species